AGCAGCAGCCACGAAGUUUCUAUAUUUAACCCCCCCCCCCAAACGUUUACAUGGUAUGUUCGGAAACACUACGGAUUCUCAAAGAACCGCGGAAAGCUCGACAGAACGUCCGCCAUUUGCAAAGAAUGCUGUUCAUCCUGAGUCGUUAGCAGAACAAAAGCAAACAUCAGCGACAUCGCUCAAGCGUGGCGGCGAACUCAAGUGCUGCAGCAGGACCGGCUUUGACCAUUGAUCCUGAUAAAGUCAGCGGGUGACCCCGGCUUGAUGCGACAAAGAAGUGAUCUGACCGGACGCUGCGUACAACUUCUGGACUCCUCGUUUGUUACACGUCCCAUCCACGGAGGCCUGCAGCUCAGCCAAGGGAAAAGGGGAGAGAGGUGAGGGGAAGGUUGCCGUGGUGAGGAGAGAGGGGCCGGCUGGCUGAUAACCACCGUGCUCCUUUCCAUCUCCUGGGCGGAUGACGGAGUAGCAGUGAGGAGAAAGAGGCUCGGCGGUCCUUGCUCGCACAGGCCGUAGUUUCCCAGCGGUCCGGUCGCACGAAGAGGCUGCAAGGCCUCUGCGUCGUCAGCUUCCGACACAUCUGACAUGUCCAAGGUGUUGGGCAGAUUAAUGUGGCUCCAUUCACCUGUGGGAGCAGCGGGGGAAGUGCUCCACUUGGCACUGGCUGCUGUUUCUGUCUUCUGCUCCAACUGACAGAUGUAGUCCAUCAACUCCUGCGGCGGGAAAAUAUAGCCAUCAUUGCACACGACGGGGCUCUCCUCCGUCGUUUGCAUAUCAGCAGUAAGCUUCUCCAGAUGCUCACGGUCCCUCUGCCAAGGCAACGCGCAACCAACAUGACGCCCAACAACACAACAGUGACGACGAUGUCAAUUAUCUUCAGAAGCGAGUCCACCCACUGUACCUUGGCGAUGUCCUGCAGACUUUGCCUCUCCUGCGCCCACUGCGCUCUGCUCUCUCUCAGUGCCAAACUGGAAUCUGCAAGUUGGAGGACCUCCUUUCUGUGGGCUGUGGUCAGUUUCUGCGUCAGGGUGCUGAUGGUGUUCUGGAGCUGCAGCACGCAGGUGUCUCUUUGGGCCAGCGAGUUCCUCAGACCUUGGAACUCCUUGGACAAAUUUCGGAGUUCGCCCUCAGUCUGUUCCAACAUGGUCUAACAAAGGUGACACGAAUACGAACAAGCUGUGGCGUUUUUUGCUCUUUCCUCCAUCCUGCACAGAUUUAUCAUAACAAAUGGACUCACUGCAACCAUUAUGCAGCUUGUUUGGAUCAGCCAUUCCAGAUCUGAGUCACUUUUUUUGCAUUUCCUUCCUAAUGCAACCAGUCCGACCUGCCUCAGUGACGCCAUCCAGACUGUCAGUCCCCAGGGUCUGUUCGUCUGUGAUCUGCCGGGCUCAUCACCGGAGAAGAGGAAGAAGGCUAACUGGGGAGCCUGCACUUGGCUGUAAAUCUGUCCUGGUUGUUUGGCGUUCCUGGGGUGCCUUCGCUUCUGCAGCCAAGUACCUGUCACAGGGGCAGCAGUCUUCCUGGUCCCCGGCAACCUCCUCCAGCUCCACCAAGGCAUUCCCAGGUCAGCUUUCAGACAGAAUCCCUCCAGCUUGUCCAGGUCUUCCCGGGGAUCUUCUCCCUGCUGGGCAUGCCCGGAAAACCUCACCAGGGAGGCGUCCGGUAGGCAUCCGGACUAGAUGCCCGAGCCACCUCAACUGGCUCCUCUCGAUGUGAAGGAGGAUGACUGAUGGAUGACUGACCUCCUCACCCAAUCUCUUAGGUUUGGGCUUCUGACUCUUCGACGUGACCAAGUAACGUCGGAAAGGCUUCGGGCUUCAGCAAGGUCUGGGUCGGGAAGUAGCAGAGUCCAGACGUUCCAGUUCCACCAGGAGGACACCAAGGCAUUCCCAUGGCAGCUAGGAGACAUAAUCCAAGUCCAAGACAGCAUACCCGCGACCCUGGACCUGAAAUCCCGAAGGAGAGCAUCCGGGCAUCUGUUCAUGACUUCAAGCGGACAGCAGGACAACGAUCCAGGACAUACCAGCAAGCUCAUCUCUGAAUGGCUGAAAGAAAAAAGAAAACUAGGUGUUGUCGUCCAAGUCCUGCCUUGAAUCCUAUUGAGAUGCUGUGGCGUGACCUUCAGAAGGAGCUUCAUGCUGGAGAACAUUCACGGCUGAAUGAAAACGACCUCUGCAAAAAUGAGUGGAACGGACUUCCUCCACAGUUCUGUAAGAGACUCAUUGCAAGUUAUCACAAACACUUGAUUGCAGUUGCUGCUGCCAAGGGUGGUCCAACCAGUUAUUAGGUUUAGACGGCAAUCACUUCCUUAUAUGGGCGUGACUGUGAGUCCCUCAAGCUUUGUUACUCCAUUUACGUUGCUAGGGGGGGGCGGUAUGCAUGGCGGAUGAAGAACACAGCAUUCCAAGACAAACACUUGCUGCCCACAGUAACAUUUGGUGGUGGUUCCAUCAUGUAUCAGCAGAUUGUUGCCAACAGUCUCCAAGAAUCAGUUGUCUGGAUCCAGCACCAAGACCAUGACCCUAAACACUGCUCCGAUUCUACUAAGGCAUCCAUGCAGAGGAACAAGUACACCGUUGUGGAACGGCCAUCUCAGUCCCCAGACCUAAAUAUGAUUGAAGAUCUGUGAUUUAAAGAUGGCCGUCCAUGCUUGGAAACCAUCAAACCUGACUCAACCGGAGAUGUUUUGGAACGAGGAAUGGUCCAAAAUACCUUCAACCAGAAUCCAAUUUUUACAUUACAGAGCACACAGCAAGAACUUGGCCAACAUUCCCAGUACAUCCCGACCUUUAACUGCGGACAAAUACUAGCAUUUGGGAUAUUUCCAAUGUUUCACAAGAGUCCAAACAAUCCGAGAAGAGUUUACACAAGACCCGUUUCUCAUACGCAGUUCAUCCCGUUGGGGUUUGGAGGAGCCAUGAAUUCCCGAUGAAUUGCUGGAUUCAGUUUCCUGAACUGUUCCUUUACGACGUGUAAUGCAUGCUCACGUAUUCACCUCCAUGAAAAGUACAAUUCCCUUUUAACAGAGACGGAAUUCUGUUGGGAUUUUGUACUGGAUGCUAAUACACCAGUACACCAUAAUACACUAGUACACCAAACAAUGACCUGCAUGGUAAACCUACAGGCAUACUGCUCAUCAAAACACUCAUGUUUUAUGUAUUCAUGGCAGUAUUUGCCUAGUAGGUAUUAUAUUAUAUUUUAGAAUAUUCCUGUGCUCAAUUCCGUUAUUUCUGACUGUUAUUUUUUUAUAUAGUUAUACUAUUACAUACUAUUGAUAUGUAUAUUUAUACUAGGCAUUGUAAGGUUGAGAGGUUGAGUUCAUGUGGCCUUAUGGGAAAAAAAUAUUCCCGCCUCUAUACAGCUACAAUACACCCCCCCCCCUCCAUUUUUAAGUCCACAUCCUGCAGUUAUAUAAAAAAAAACAAAUGUAGGCUAUAUUAUAUUAUAUUAUAUUAUAUUAUAUUAUAUUAUAUUAUAUUAUAUUAUAUUAUAUUAUAUUAUAUUAUAUUAUAUUAUAUUAUAUUAUGAUUUAUUUGGAGUUUUUGUAUUCCUUUAAAAAAAAGCCCACCCCUGAACGAAAAGUACACAAGUUAAUACAAGUGCCGCAAAAAUGUGCACAGGGGUUUGCUUUUUACACCCCACAGUGGUGCAAUAGAGCAGAAACUUUGCACAGAUGUUAGUUUGUAACAGAGGACGGUAAACUUCACAUUUCUAUCACCAUAUGCCCUUUUAUUAUUACAUUAUAUUUAUGCGUCUAUUUAUUUAUUGUAUCCGUGCGGCAAUUAAGUCCACGUUCGUGAUUCCAUACCUGUGUUUUAAAUCUGUUUUUUAUUGACUUUUCGUUUAUUUGUUGCAGCAGUGCGUGUUUUCUGUAUUGGAAAUGUCAAUAUCAUAAUAUUGAAUAUGAUAUUAUUGAAGUUUAAACCCUUUUUGGUGAUUCGAUUGGCAUUGAAAUGAUGCUUUCGAUUGUCAAAAACGAACUUUAGACUAUUUUAACGAAUGAUAAUCCUACACUGACUGUUUGUGGGUUCUUAUAAUAACUCUUUUAUUAUGUAUUUAUAAAUAUGAAUAUAUAAUCAUGUAUUCGGACUCAUGUCGUGGAUGCUGCGGAGCUGAAGGCUGCCCCGCAUCCACGGCGUCUGCGUGUGUGGAGGCUGACUUUGAACUUGAACUUCGUCUUGGCUAUAUUGCGGAUGUGCGCAGUGCAGCGGCACUAAUGAGCCCGCGCUAAUUGUUUCAUCGGAGUUGUUUGUCGCGUCUGUGCGCAAAGGACGUUGUUGCGUCUAAACUCCGGGUUCGUUUUGACAUUCAGACAACAGGGACACUUGUCCCUGAACGCAUCUCUUUCAUAAUAUCUUCUUUUUUAUUAAAGAUUCCAACAUCUGUAUGGUUGGAAUGUACUUUAAAUAGGCUGAGAUUUUUUUUUUAAGUCAAAGCGUCAAAAUAACAAAAAAUGCGCAUAGUUUGACGCCGAGUGGUGGUGCAAAUGACUAUUGGAGUCAGACACUCCAAAAAAAAGAUUCCCCUCAUUUUCCUUCCUGCGUCAUAUAUAUACUGCAGCUAUAAAUGCAAAUUGACUAAAUGGAAACCGGCGAUAAAUGGCAUCAACGUGUUUGUUAAGCGGCAUAAAGUGUGUUUUUGCACUUGGACCUGUGCGCAAAAGUGACGAAUAUACUUGGAGGAACUGCGGCAAAUAUAUAUGCAUUAUCUUGCAGUGUUAAAUCAACUAAAGAAUCGAUUAUCUAUCCUCAUCCAAUAUGUGAUCCACAUUCCUGGUGUAGUUACUGCACAUUGUUGUGGAAUUAUGCGCAAAAAAAUAAUACGCUAAGAUCUUUUCAUGGCUUUUCAUAGAAUUAUCUAAUAUUUACAUUUACUUCCAUAGCCUCGCUUUACCUUUGCAGCAUUAAACCCGAACAAUAAGUGCAAACCCGCCUGCCGCAUCUGUGCGCCACUGGCCUGUUUCUUUUUCUUGUGCUCCCCCUGAAAGCCUGAGUGUGUUACAAAAUGACUCGUUAGGAAUAUUAGUCAUAUAGUCUAUACGUCAUUGUCAAUAUAUUGCGGUUAAAAUAAGAGUUCAUAACCAAAUGUGGCGUUUAAUGUCAGGGAUGCGUGACAAUAUUUUCCUUAUUAUCGCAUACGCUAACUAAGGGAUUCUAGUUUUUAGUCUCGUUGUUUUGUUUGAAAGCUUAGACAUGGAUGCUCAUACAUUGGUAGAAUGACUUAUUAUUAUUACAUAUUUUCAGUGGAAUAUAUAUAAUAUUUUACUCACCUCAAAAUAUAGUAGUAUUUUGAAAGUAGACUCAAAAUCCAAUCCAUAAUCUUCACAAAGAUAAUAGUACUAAUUUACCUUCACAUUCACAUUUACCUUCAUUCUUGGGUAUCGAACACCGUGGCUGUGAUUUCACUCUUGCGUGGCAGCAAUGUACCCCAAUUGGAGCUUUUUUUUCUAAUAUUUUGGUUUCAUUUAA